rnacentral:lncRNA from 1 species
CAUGUUCCCGGCACUGGACCUGCUGCGGCUCACACUGCAAAAUCCCACGGUGAACAGCCAGGGUGUAAGU